UACGUAGGCAGCAAGCGUUGUUCGGAAUUACUGGGCGUAAAGAGUGUGUAGGCGGUGCUCUAAGUUCGGUGUGAAAUCUCCCGGCUUAACUGGGAGGGUGCGCCGGAAACUGGAGUGCUCGAGCGUGGGAGAGGAAAGCGGAAUUCCUGGUGUAGCGGUGAAAUGCGUAGAUAUCAGGAGGAACACCGGUGGUGUAGACGGCUUUCUGGACCAUAGCUGACGCUGAGACACGAAAGCGUGGGGAGCAAACAGG
rnacentral:rRNA from 1 species